rnacentral:rRNA from 1 species
GAUGAACGCUAGCGGCAGGCUAACACAUGCAAGUCGAGGGGUAAUGUUCAGCUUGCUGAAUACACGACCGGCGCACGGGUGAGUAACACGUUUGCAACCUUCCUCUAACUGGAGAAUAGCCCGAAGAAAUUCGGAUUAAUACUCCAUAAAGUCAAUUUAAGGCAUCUUUUAUUGAUUAAAGCUCCGGCGGUUAGAGAUGGGCAUGCGUGUCAUUAGCUAGUUGGUGAGGUAACGGCUCACCAAUGCCACGAUGACUAGGGGGUCUGAGAGGAUGAUCCCCCACACUGGUACUGAGACACGGACCAGACUCCUACGGGAGGCAGCAGUGAGGAAUAUUGGGCAAUGGACGCAAGUCUGACCCAGCCAUGCCGCGUGCAGGAUGACUGCCCUAUGGGCUGUAAACUGCUUUUGUUUGGGAAGAAACCCCGAUCGUGAUCGGGGCUGACGGUACCAUACGAAUAAAGCAUCGGCUAACUCCGUGCCAGCAGCCGCGGUAAUACGGAGGAUGCAAGCGUUAUCCGGAUUCAUUGGGUUUAAAGGGUGCGCAGGCGGAAUAUUAAGUCAGUGGUGAAAUCCUGCAGCUUAACUGUAGAACUGCCAUUGAUACUGAUAUUCUUGAAUAUAGUUGAGGUGGGCGGAAUGUGUAAUUGUAAGCGGUGAAAUGCUUAGAUAUUACACAGAACACCAAUUGCGAAGGCAGCUCACUAAACUAAUAUUGACGCUGAGGCACGAAAGCGUGGGUAGCAAACAGGAUUAGAUACCCUGGUAGUCCACGCUGUAAACUAUGAUCACUCGCUGUUGGCAAUACAUCGUCAGCGGCUUGAGCCGAAAGCAUUAAGUGAUCCACCUGGGGAGUACGGUCGCAAGAUUGGAACUCAAAGGAAUUGGCGGGGGCCCGCACAAGCGGAGGAACAUGUGGUUUAAUUCGAUGAUACGCGAGGAACCUUACCUGGGCUUAAAUGCAGAGCGACGUCCGCCGAAAGGUGGAUUCCUUCGGGCGAUCUGCAAGGUGCUUGCAUGGUUGUCGUCAGCUCGUGCCGUGAGGUGUCGGGUUAAGUCCCAUAACGAGCGCAACCCUUAUCGUUAGUUGCCAGCGGGUAAUGCCGGGGACUCUAACGAAACUGCCGGUGUAAACCGUGAGGAAGGUGGGGAUGACGUCAAAUCAGCACGGCCAUUAUGUCCAGGGCUACACACGUGUUACAAUGGUCGGUACAGAGGGCAGCUACCACGCAAGUGGAUGCUAAUCUCGAAAACCGGUCUCAGUUCGGAUUGAAGUCUGCAACUCG